rnacentral:misc_RNA from 1 species
GUAUUUGAUUGCGUUUUAAGGCAACAUGAACAUUCUAUGACACAUUCAGAGUAUAUGAUACAUAAGCCCGAAGGCCUACGGUGGGUUCACAGGUGUGUUGUGGAUUUAAGAGCUCAGGCGUGCACAUGCCCCGAAAGGGAGGCCAGCUACAACCCUCACUUAUAAUUCGAUAAUGAUCCUUCCGCAGGUUCACCUACGGAAA